rnacentral:misc_RNA from 1 species
UACACUUCGUUCUAGACUUUCCUUUCAGAUUUCUUUAUUUAGUGCAUAUAUAAAAUUUUAAUUAUUGAAAUAUAAUAAAACUAAACUAGCGAAUAACGUGAAUAACAUUGCGACCUUAUGGCUACUAUAAUUUCUUUACCCGACGAAGUGAUUGAUGUCAUUCUAGAAGAUGAAAAUAUCAGCAUUAAGGAUGCCGUGAGUUUUAUGUCCACGUGUAAACAAUUCUACGAAAUGAUACACAGUAAAAAAUUUUGGGAAAAGAAAUUUUACCAAAGGUGCCCUUCUGCGAGAAAAAAGUAUAACACAGAGAAACGGGAGAAAAUUUUUAAACACUUAGAUUUUAAAGAAAAAUUAAAAACGAACAUUAAGUGUAUUAAAUCCCUACAACAUUAUGUACAUCUGAUGUCUAAUAAUAAUUUAUCGGACACUGACAAAAAAGAAUUAGGACACCUUCUAAUUUUCAUAGCUGAAGAUUCUAUGACUUAUUACUUUGUUUUGGAUGAAAUAAAUACAAUUAUUCCACCACAUAUAUAUCUAUGGAGUUUAGACCCCAAUUUGACAAUUAUAUACAACUUUGAUCGAAUUAAUAACUAUCUGAGACAAUAUCGGUUUAUAUAUAAGCUUAAUAAAUUUUUAAAUAUGUCAAAGGAGAAGAGACUUUUUGAACGGCUAAUUAUUAUUAUGACACAACAUUGUCAACCAUGUGUGUCUUAUUCGGUCAUAAAAACGUUCUUAGAUGAUAUGGCGUAUGAAGUAUUUUCCCUUGUUAAAAAUAAAUAUCCUAAGCAUUCUUUAUUUUCAACGUCUCCUGAGCAAAUUUCGUUUUGGAGAGACAACAAUAUCGAACGUAAUUUUUGGAAUCGAACAGAAGCAAUGCAAAUUAUAGAAAUUCUUGAUGAAUUUAUGUCGGAAUUGGGAUAUUGUAAAUUAAAUAAACUAUUGAAAACAUUAGAUAUAGCAUGCGAAUUUGUAAUUGAUUUUUUAGACGAUUCAGAAUUUAAAAAAACUAUUACAUAUCAGUGCGUGGCUAGAAGACUUGGCAUAUAUUGCUGUUCAACGUAUGCAGAUUUUCAUAUAGACAACUGGUAUAAAUGCAUGUGGAAGCCGAAAUAUAAUAUAGAAGAUAUGGAGUUGGGAGAAUAUUAUUUUAAGGAUUAUCAUGCAAAAUCAAUCGCAUUCUAUAAUGCAACAAGGGAAUUGCCAUAUACUGUACCUAGUGACUUAAAUAAUAUAAAGGAGAUAAGAGUGAUGAUAUGUUGUCUCUAUGAAUCACUGAAAUAUGAAAAUUAUGCAUCAUCAGUUUAUGUGAGCAGACUACUUGAAUACAGCUUAGAUAGUUACCUAGACCAAUGGUUUGGACAAUAUAAAAAUAUUAAUGAAGUAAAUAUUGAAGCUGAAUACAUUAAUAUUACAGAGUCAAUAGGGGACAGACCUGACAUUUUCUUCGAAAGAAGUGAAGACCCAAAAAGAAGAAAUGAAGAAAUCAAAUUUGCUAUUGGUAUGAUCAUAAAGCAUACACCGCCAGUCGAAUGCAAUAUUAAUGGUGUAAUAGUUGGUUGGCAUUAUGAAUGUGAUAGCGUGUUCACUAAUCUAUUGAAUCAGUUGGAUGAUAUAGAUCCAAUAAGUAAUUUGAAUCAUCCACUUAUAUCAGGGAAUCUAUAUCUACUCAACAAGUUGACAACUAUCGAAAGUUGUUUUUGUAGAGAAAGUCGAACAACUGAUUGUAUGAAACAACCGCAUUAUUUAAUUCUCACAGAUAGCAAUCAAAUACGUUAUGUGGAACAAAGUAUAAAUAUACUAUAUGCUCCACAAAUAAACGACUAGAGGGGAUCAAUAAUGUAGAAAUAGGGAGAUACUUCACUAGAUUCGAAGAUACUCAUUAUGUACCAAAUGAAAACCUGGCAAAACUAUAUCCAGACGAUGCUGCUGCUAUUCUCGAAAUACCUUCCAGAUAAACUUUGUCAUCGAUGAAUUGACUUGGGCUCUCGUAUAUUCUACAACACUGCGUGAUUCCCAAUUUAACUCUCAACAUAUCCAAUGAAUAUAUUAUAUAAAUCAAUACAAUAUAAUUAUACAAAUUAUCUUCCAAAUUUCGUAACUCAUACCCUA